rnacentral:ncRNA from 1 species
ACGAGGCUCAUGUGAAAACGUGACCCUAUCUGGUAACAGGUAGUGGAAAACUCUCUAAACUGCUGGAAACCCGUUAAGCUUUUCUUGCUACAACGUAAUCCGAGAGGAUAAGCGUGAACGCUAACAAAAGAGAAGAUUCGGCAAUCAGCAUCCAAGCCCUCCACUUGUGGUGGACGGAAGGUUCAGAGACUAUAAUGGGAGAUUCCCUAUGGGAAUGUGGUAUAGUCCAUGCUUUUCGGAAACGGAAGG